GUAUUUCCGCGGGCGCUGAGCACUAGAGAGAGCGUCUUGUGGCUGCGGCCUGCCCCUCAGCCUCCUCCGCGCGGUUACCCCUGUACCCGCCGCCAUCCGUCCUGGCGCUCCGGAUGAGUCAAUGAGGGGCAGGGCCCGAGGAGUGGUCUUCCCAAGAACCCCUGGUGGCCUCCCAAGGCCGGUGCUGUGUACCUCCUCCCCGACAAAAGGGGAAACUGAGGCCCCGAGGGGAGUGGGAAGAGCCGGCUGGACGUCAGGCCCAGCCGCUGGCCUCGUGGGCUGUGCGGCUAUCCUGGAGACAGAUGACAGCUCUCCCUUGGAUGGCUUUGCUGGUUCCGCACCAGCCAGCGCCCCCAUUUUUCCUGCAGCACCCUGAUCUGCACUCCCUGAGGGGCUCCCACUGUCCGCGGUGUGAGGAUGUCCCUGGAUAGUCCACUGUGUGCAGAGGCAUGGGAGUUGUCAUGUUGGGAACAUGCUAGACCUCAGUAUCCUUGAGCUUGAAGAAAGACGACAGAACACUGGAGACCAAGUACUUACAGCCUUCUGCUCUGUGGCCCCUCCUCACUCCAGGGAUGCUGCCUUGGGUCUGGAAACUGUUAGAGGAAACCCCAAGAGGUGCAGGCACUGAGCCUCUCAGGACAAUGACCUGGGGUCCCAGCUCCCCUGGAGGGGCCUCCUCAUGGUAAGUGAAUGCCAAGAGGUUAAGUUGGCCUGUGUUUCCGAGGUGGAAAUUCCAGGUCGCUGGCUUCAUUUGUCUUCUCUUUUAGAUUGUUUGGGGGUUGAUCACAGACCAAGAGUGACGAGUGAUGUCACCCUGUGACUCAUGGCUGGACCUUCUUGCCCCUAUUGUCUCAGCACAACAUUAUUCGACUUUUCCCUCAGCGUGGGUGGGCAGAGGAAAAGCCCUGUGGCUCUGGGGACUUGGGAUCCAGAGUUGAAGACCCUUCAGCUGGCUCUGCCCUGCCAGUGCCACAGAGUGCCAUGGCCCAGGAAGACAGGUUUUCUUCCAUCUAGGCCAGGCCAUCCAGUGGCCAUCCUCCGUGUCCUCCCGCCUCCUCCUGGUGUGACUUCUGAAAACCAAGAAUUUGUUCCUGUUGACUUUUUCUGUGCUAUGGACCAUUGUCCUCUCACCCACUCAAUAAAUCUUGAAACAUGC
ensembl:lncRNA SNHG11 small nucleolar RNA host gene 11